rnacentral:rRNA from 1 species
AACGAACGCUGGCGGCAGGCUUAACACAUGCAAGUCGAACGGGUGUAGCAAUACAUCAGUGGCAGACGGGUGAGUAACACGUGGGAACCUUCCUAGGGGUACGGAACAACUCAGGGAAACUUGAGCUAAUACCGUAUACGUCCGUGAGGAGAAAGAUUUAUCGCCCUUAGACGGGCCCGCGUCGGAUUAGCUAGUUGGGGGGGUAACGGCCUACCAAGGCGACGAUCCGUAGCUGAUCUUAGAGGAUGAUCAGCCACACUGGGACUGAGACACGGCCCAGACUCCUACGGGAGGCAGCAGUGGGGAAUCUUGGACAAUGGGCGCAAGCCUGAUCCAGCCAUGCCGCGUGAGUGAAGAAGGUCUUCGGAUUGUAAAGCUCUUUUGCCAGGGACGAUAAUGACAGUACCUGGAGAAUAAGCCCCGGCAAACUUCGUGCCAGCAGCCGCGGUAA